ensembl:lncRNA
GUGAGGCCGCAGAAGGUGGAGAAAAGUUGUUGGUUCCCGGCGCCAGGGUCAAAGCCGCCGGGACUAGGACCACUCAGCAGGGAUCCGGCUUGACCUUCGGAGAACCAGCCGGACCCGCCCAAUUCGGCUGGCCGGGUCGAUUCGGGGUCAGGGGAAGCCGCUGGCCGGCGGCCUGAACCCGAGGGCUGCAGGAUGCUCUCCAAACACAGGGCCCCGGGGCUGUGCGGGUGCACCGCAGGACAGAGAGCAGAGAUUGCCUUCCUGGAAGAAGCCACAGUGUUUUCUGAGGAGCUCGAGUUCACAAUCCAGAGGGACUCUUAUUGUGAAGAAAAGUGAAUGAUGGAAGUAUAAACCGUGUAGUGAAGAGCAGUGUUGCCAGGGCGGAAGAGAUGAGAGAGAGCAAGCAAGACUCGGGAGUGUUCUGACAGGUAACAUGGGACCGAAGGAGGCGCAGGCCACCCAGGGGACUUGUCCUGUGGAGAACCCGAGACACCAGGUGGCACGUACAGGGCUGUGUGUCCUGAAUGAUUGAUGUCUGUGUCAUUGGGAAGCAACUCUCAGGGGAAAGAAACACCUUCUUCUGUGGCCAGAACCAUCACACAGAGCCUGCCUUGACCUUAACAGUGGGAACAGAGACUGAGUGAAAAGCUCAGCCGUCCACCCCAGGAAGAAGAGUUUGUGCUUCUUUAUGGUCUAGAAGAACAGCA